rnacentral:lncRNA from 1 species
UGGAGGGAUGGCCCGUGCCCUUGUUCCCCUGUCACUGCUGGAAGUGGUCCUUCCUAAAACUUCAUCAUGAAAUUGCACUUGGAUCAUGUAUCAAGAUGAAAGUUUUUUUUUAACUUCCAUUGAUGCUUGGGAAGUAAUAUGUCUUCUGUAACAUUUGACUGUUUCAGUCACAGUGGAGAGGAUACAAGCAGAAGAAGGCAUAUCAAGAUCGGUUAGCUUACCUGCGCUCCCACAAAGAUGAAGUUGUAAAGGUAUGGUAGCCUGAACAGGGUUUCUCCAUGAGGGGCACAGGUAUAACACGUGUUGAGAUGAAGGACUCUUCUAAUUUCCAGGAUCCCUUUUCCACAGAUUCAGUCCCUGGCAAGGAUGCACCAAGCUCGAAAGCGCUAUCGAGAUCGCCUGCAGUACUUCCGGGACCAUAUAAAUGACAUUAUCAAAAUCCAGGCUUUUAUUCGGGCAAACAAAGCUCGGGAUGACUACAAGACUCUCAGUGAGUAACUGGCUCCGCAUGAAGAGUUGAGGCAGUGGCUGGGAGCCACCAAGUUCAGGGUAUUCUCCACAGACCUCUUUUGUUAUCCUGAAGGCAAGGCUUGGGG